AUCGAUUGUUAAUGUUGUAUAUUCAUUAAAAUGAUUUUAAUUCAUGAAGAGACUAAAAUAAUCAAGAUGUUUCUUUCUAUUAUAUAACUAAAAUAGUUACUCAAGACCAGAAUUUAAGAUUUUCAGUUGUCAUCUUUUGCAUCUGCGCUGAGUGUAACUUAGAUAAUGCAAAUGAUGGCGUAUUUUCUUCAUCAAAACGUACUUCAAGGGAGGUGAUAAUUGAAUCCAAGUAUGGUAUUACUAAAGAACUCUUCCAGUAUUCUGAAGGGCUUUCUGCUGGUUGAUUGCUUCUAUGACUUUCUCUGCAACAACAGCAGCUUCCUUUAUAAUUUCGUCUGCCAAUUUUUCCGGAUUCCGGACAUAUUUUUACACAAAAUUUUUUUGCAAAUCUGAUAUAUUUGUGAUGAAAAUGAUUUUAAAAACGGAUGUCAAAAUCUAAAUGCUAUUCUGAAUAUACUGAAUAUACAUUAAACCUUAA